rnacentral:SRP_RNA from 1 species
GCCGGGCGUGGUGGUGCGCGCCUGUAAUCCCAGCUACUCAGGAGGCUGAGGCAGGAGAAUCACUUGAACCCGGGAGGCAGAGGUUGCAGUGAGUGGAGAUCAUGCCACUGUACUCCAGCCUGGGCAACAGAGUGAGACUCUGACUCAA